rnacentral:tRNA from 1 species
GAAGGGGCCCAAAGGACUGCUACUCCUUACACCCGAGACUUAAACCUCGGACCCAUCA